GAACUGAAAAUCUGGUAUAAAACUUGUGUUUUGAUUUUUUUUUGUACCUUAUGAAGUUAAAUUUUUUAAACAAUUAUUACAUAAUUUCUCAGUGAAUUUUAUUAUAUUCUGACUUCUAAUAUAUUUUGUGGGUAAUGGUUCAAAACAUUUUCUGAUGUAAUAUAUAUUUUGGUUUGGUGUGUUUUGAAUGCAAAGUUAUAAAUAUAAUACUAUACAAUAUUACUAUAGUAUUAUUAUAUAAAACUAUAUAUUUAUUUUUGAAACAUAAUCUGGACCAACGUAAUUCAUGAGCACCAAUUUUCUUGCCCAACUUACACAUUUUCACUAAGCCCAUCACAAACUAAUUAUUCCGGGAACAUAAAUAUUAAGUUACGUUAGUAAAAAAGUCAACUAUUCAAAAAAACACUAAACGUCUUUAUCGGUGUCUGUCUCUCUGAUCUGUUCAUCUUCCUCGGUAUCCAUAAUCAUCAAAGUAAAAGAAAAAGCUAUACAAAUCCAGAGUAAACACAGAGAUUUAUGUUGAAUUUGAUACUCGAUCUAUCGACUAAAGCUUGCACCCUUUGAUCUAACCAAGAAGAAGAAGAAGACAUUUGUCAUUCAGGAUGUCAUCGAGGACUCAGCUGAGUCACACGUGAGACAUAUUAUCCGUUGUCUGAUUGUUCAAGAAGAGUUUAUGUGCUGUGAAACAUAUUUGUUUCUUUUCAUCAGUUGCUUUGUUUAAUCUUUUUUCCUGCAAAUAAUGACGGCUUUGACAAUUCAUUUACGGGAGCCAAGAAGUAAAAGAAGAAGAAGCCAGUUGAACGAAGAUCAUUGAAUAAAGAAAAUGUCGAUGCUCCAGAAGAUUUGGAGGAGCAUCCUAAUGACGAGGAAGAGGUGGAGGGAAUUGAUCUGCACCAGCAACGUUACCCGUGGGAGGGAAGUGACAUGGAUUACUUAUACGACGAGGUAAGCAUAUCAUUAGAUGGUUUGCGGUCCAUCUUUGAGAGCCGUCGAUUGUAAGUGUCUAUCGUUUUGAAGUUGCACGACACUAAGAUGUAAAGAUUACUAAUCACGAUUACCUUACUAGCAGAGUUCUUUUGCACAGCUAUUGUCAAUGGAAUUAACACUUGAAAUUGAUGGUGCUAUAUUUCAUGUUCCAAAUGCUAACGCAAACUCCAAUGUUGAUUCUCAGCUUUAACAUGUCAAAAUCCCAAUGCAGUGGGUGUUGUAAGGUAAUUCAGUAGACACAAAUGUUCAGUUGAAAAAAAAUUCUAAACUGUAUUUAUGCAUCAAACUUAUCAUCCGUAACAUAAUAAUAUGCUUUUUCUGUGCUAGGAACCGUUUGUAAAUAAAUGUCUCGGAUGUAUAUGACUGCUGAGUUUGUUUCUUUUGACAGUGAAAUCACUAAGAUUGCAAUGUGUCAGGACAUCAAAAGCAUCUAAGCUUAUGCUCAUUCUCCAUCUAACUUCUCGGUGUUACUAUAUAAUGAUCAAGUCAUUUUCUGCACAAAUAGGCAAGUGGGGAUGUUACGUUGGGUGCUUUUUAUUGGGAUUUGCUAUACAAAGUCUGUUGUGACUCUAAAACUUUUACCUCAUUUAACAUUGAUUCUGGUUCUUGGGA